GUAUAAUGGGUCAACGACUUACAUUCAGUAGCGAGCUUAACCGAAUAGGGGAGGCGUAGGGAAACCGAGUCUUAAUAGGGCGAUGAGUUGCUGGGUGUAGACCCGAAACCGAGUGAUCUAUCCAUGGCCAGGUUGAAGGUGCCGUAACAGGUACUGGAGGACCGAACCCACGCAUGUUGCAAAAUGCGGGGAUGAGCUGUGGAUAGGGGUGAAAGGCUAAACAAACUCGGAGAUAGCUGGUUCUCCCCGAAAACUAUUUAGGUAGUGCCUCGAGCAAGACACUGAUGGGGGUAAAGCACUGUUAUGGCUAGGGGGUUAUUGCAACUUACCAACCCAUGGCAAACUCAGAAUACCAUCAAGUGGUUCCUCGGGAGACAGACAGCGGGUGCUAACGUCCGUUGUCAAGAGGGAAACAACCCAGACCGCCAGCUAAGGUCCCCAAUGAUAGAUUAAGUGGUAAACGAAGUGGGAAGGCCCAGACAGCCAGGAUGUUGGCUUAGAAGCAGCCAUCCUUUAAAGAAAGCGUAAUAGCUCACUGGUCGAGUCG
rnacentral:rRNA from 1 species